AGGAUCCUGGUACUAAAUUGAUAGUGACUUUGACAUAUUGCAUAAUCUAAGCUUUUUAGUCCGAAUUACAUUCACUUGAUCUGAACAUGCUCUUUUUCAAUUAGCUUCCUCCUCCACCCCAGCAGGCUUGCUUGGGUGUCUUCUUUGCAGUGCUCCCUUUCGUCCCAGAACCCAUUGGGUGAGGCUCCUUAGUAUUAGGACCUGUGAGAAGGUGUUACACAGUAGGUGACUGCUGGGCUGUGCGUUGGUUCUCACUGAGCCUACUUGGGAAUGGAAACUCCAGAUUCUUUGCUGCUGCUGCUUUCGAAGGAAAUGUUGGACAGCCUACAUCCUGCAACAUUACUAAUCAGCAGCAGGAUGAAAAGAAUAUUGAAAAAGUUGUAUCAACGAAAAUCACCAAAUCUGGACUACCAAGAAGAGAAACUCCCCCAAAGUAAUCCUUCAUAG
rnacentral:lncRNA from 1 species